UACGUAGGAUGCAAGCGUUAAUCGGAAUUACUGGGCGUAAAGGGUGCGCAGGCGGCUUGGAAAGAACGGUGUGAAAUCCCGGGGCUCAACCCCGGAACUGCACUAUUAACUAUCAAGCUAGAGUAUGUCAGAGGGGGGUGGAAUUCCGCGUGUAGCAGUGAAAUGCGUAGAUAUGCGGAGGAACACCAAUGGCGAAGGCAGCCCCCUGGGAUAAUACUGACGCUCAGGCACGAAAGCGUGGGUAGCAAACAGG
rnacentral:rRNA from 1 species